GCCUCUCUAGCUCAGUGGUAGAGCAACUGAUUCGUAAUUAGUAGGUCGCCAGUUCAACUCUGGUGAGAGGCU
rnacentral:tRNA from 1 species